rnacentral:piRNA from 1 species
UAACGGCAUGAUCCUUGUAGGACUCUGGUU